UACGUUCCCGGACCUUCGUACACACCGCCCGUCAAGCCAUGGAAGUUGGGAGGACCUGAAGACAGUUGCUGUAAGGCGCUGUUUAGGGUUAAACCGAUGACUGGGGCU
rnacentral:rRNA from 1 species